CGGUUUUCCUAACGUUAGAUUUAGCUUCAUGCAGGUGUUGAGACUUCCAUGUGUGAAUUAUGAACGUAAUUCAACUUCCUUUGCCAUCAUGCCGGUACGAUGGUGAACACUUCUUGUCGACAAAGGCGUGUCUUUUAUUCGUUUUGAUUAUCUUGUCUUGAUGCAAAGUUGCCAAAAUGUUUAUUGGCAACAUCGAGUACGAAAUGAUUUGGCAUACACCCCGUCUGUGAAUUUAGAGACACAAGAGAACCGUCUCUCUCCACAAAGGCUGUCCAUUCUUGUUAAAACCUUCGGUACUCCUCAUAUUUUUUUUCUUUGAGCGAACUUUGGUUCCAUAAUUAGUCGCUCCAACAGAUUGGCGUUUGACCUUUUUCACCUACCGCAUUGACUUCCAUGCAGACUACGGCAAGCCCACUAGGACAAACUGUCUAUGUCUCAUUUGCGUUGCAUGCAUGACAGUAUGUCGUUAUGAGGGCUCUGCGGGCCACACGGGAGCAUCAAAAGACCCAGGUGUGGCUCGCGAGCCACAGGUUCCUGACCCCUGUUCUGGGGAGUAACGGGAUGGACUUGGUCAGGAAUGAGUUUAAAUGGGAAACAAAUUCUGUGAGAACGCCACCUCCUGCCUGAAGAUUGCUGGGAUGGGCUCCAGCACUCCCGCGACCCUCGUUGACGCGAAGCGACCCGGAUAACGGCUGGAUGAAUAGGCACGGUGUCGCCCUCUGGUGGCCACUGGGAGUUACAAAAGCACGCGCCUUCAAUUGUCAACAAAGACCGGCAGUUCCGAUCUAAAAUGGACCUUUAGUUGAAAAUAAACUCCCUUAGCGAAACAACUGCAGCCUAUUUGAACUCCAUGCUUGUUAUUAGCGGACACGAAGCCCGAGGAUCGCUCGUAACUAGACGAGCGCGUGCGAUGGGCGGUGCUUCUAAACCCGGCUGCGAGGGUGAAUUAGGACCGUUUUUUGCGCCGGGACGAGCACAGAAACGGGGGGCCUGCCCGGCGAGCAUAGCCAGCGUCUCUGCUUUCGGCACAGAGGGCUCAUUCGGAGAGUUGGCCGACAAAUAGUUGUAAACAAAUAGCGGAGGUUUUAUUAGCAUGUAGCAUCGCAACGGAGCCCCCCCCCCCCCCUCCACGCGCAUGCGCAGCGCGUUCCCGUAAGCUCCCCUCGGGGUUGAGUUCCUUAAACGCGCGUCGCACACUCCUUCCAGCAAAUUAGUCAGCUGACCUAAUAUAAACUGAUAUCCGCAGAUAUUUUUUUCCCCACCCGUGUGUGUGUGUGUGUGUGUGUGUGUCAUUGUUUACUGUUGUGUUUUUUUUUUUUCUUGUUUUUUUUUUUACUUUGAGGCUGCUGCGGCCUCGCUGUGCUGGGUCCGGGGUUUAGAGAGGCCUGGCCGCAAGUAGGUCGGCCCGGGUUUAAGAGGCUUAGCUACGUCAGUCUAAGCUUACAGGAAUUCAUCCAGAACCCCGGGAGGUAGGCGGGGGCCUAAGCGAGGCUGGCCUAGUUAAGCCUGAUUCUUAUUGUGCUCGGCAGCAGCCUGAUUUUGUUGUGCAAGGAAGCAGAGGGGGGGAACCAAGCGGCGGUGGGAUUUCCACCGCUCAAUGACGGAUCAUUUGGAAUGGGAAGAGGAGGAAAAAAGGGAUGGCGAGCACUUGAACUGCUUUUAACAUGAUAUCUGGGAGAAGGAGGAAGAGAGUCCCGUAACAGGACGGGAAAAGACAGGUGUGGGCCGGCAACAGCCGAAGGCCCGACCGGAGCUUUAAGAUGGCAUCCGGCUCGGUCUUCCUCUCCAGCAUGGUGGGGAAAGCCCGCUCGUCCAAUUUCACGCUGUCCGAGAAGCUGGACCUGUUGAAGCUCGUCCGGCCUCACGUGCGCAUCCUGGAGGAGCACACCAACAAGCACGCCGUCAUCGUGGAUAAGAACAAGUGCUGGGACGCCGUGGCGGAGCGGUACAACGGCCUGGGGGGCGACAGGCCCCACCGCACGGCCCAGGGCCUCAGGACCCUCUACAAGAGGCUGAAGGAGUCAGCCAAACAGGAAGUGAUGCAACGAAGGCACGCCCAGCCCGAGUACAGAGCCAGCAUUUCUGAGCCAACCAGGAGAAUCAUGGAGAUGAUCCCUCACCUCUUUCAACAUGUGCCCGUCCACGACAAGGACCUGGCCCUGCGCAGAUUAAUAUACACGAGGCACAAUUGUCCCGUCGAGCAUCCCGGCAGCAGCUCCUGUCUGGUCGGCCCUCAGGGCUACUCUGCACCCGUCCCCGCCGUUCCCCACGAGGUGGUCCAUCUGGACACCCUAGAUGACGUAAAACCGCCUCCAGAUCUCCCAGUCCCCUCCGCGCAUGCGGAGCCGGAGGCGGGGCGGGAGCGGGCGGGGGAACGGGACGCGGGCAGCGUCCAAGAUUUCCACUCAUCCUCUUCACCCGCCCCCUCGUCCGUCAACGUCCCCCUCUCGGCCUCGCCGCUGUCUUUACGCCACGACUUCUACCCCAACGACAUCUACCCUCACCGCGAGCACGAGCGCUUCCGCCCUCUGCACCUGGCCAAGGAGGAGCACGAGUUGGUGCUGGCCAAUCACAGGAAGGUGGCGUUGUACCUGGAGGAGAAGAGGGAGGGGCUCAAGAGGAAGCAGCAGCUGGAGGAGGAACUUUUAAGGGCCAAGAUCAAAGUGGAGAAGCUGAAGGUGGCCCGACUCCGACACGGCCUGCCCGUCCCUCUUUAGCCAGGACGAAUGUGCCUUGCAAACGGACAUCACAGGGCCGCCCCCAGGAGCCAGGAGAAUGCCGCCAGUUGGCGUCCUCUCGCGGUGGUACACUUCCUAAAGGUUGAGCUCGACAGACGGCAGUCCAAGGAGUUGCCACUUUUGUGUUACAAGACUGAGAAAGACGCAGAAGCAGGAAAGGCGUACGAACGGCGCCGUGAGAAAGAACACGACGUACUGGAAGUCCUCACCCGCACUUUGACGGGUUCAACUGCGUCGCGCCGUGAUGACGUCAGAUCCGAAUUUGGGUCAACGUGGUGCCUCCAGCAGACGCUGGCUGAGGUGUUCAUGUUGCCAUUGUUGUAAAACCCUUGCAUCACCAAACACUCUUUUCCCAGAAUAUAUUUAUAUUUUUAAAAGAGUAAUAACUUCAAAAGGGAAUGCACUAUAGUGUGUGUGUGUGUGUGUGUGUGAGAGAGAGAGAGAUAAAGGCUAACGACUGUUGUUUCUGCGUAAAUAUCUCUUUUUUUCUGGUAUUUGGAAUAUUCCAAUAAUUUGAAUAUUUUGGCCACGAUCUGUGUUUCACUGACUUUUUUUUUUUUUUUAAAGAAAAAGUGCACAUUUUCUUGCGAGCAGCUGGGGAAGAUAAAUGAUGUUAAAGCCUUACAACACAAUGGUUUCCAGUCGAGCCUCUAAAGUCAAACACAAAAAUUCUGUGGUACUACUGCGGAGGCAUCGCAAACCACCAAAUCAGAGGAAAAGCAAAAAAGAUGAGCUGAAGUCUGACAUGAUGGUUUUCAGGGCGUUCAACUUUGGAGGGUCACCUGUAUGUCGUCACUUCCUGUUCAGUGUUGCUAAAAAUGACUGAAAUGAGAUCGAUUGCCAGUUGGAAGAAGAGAACUGCAAUGUUGGGGCUGUAAUUGUUGUCAAGUCAAUGAAAUAUACUAUUGUCUUUUCUGGAAAUGAGUCAAAUGACUGAUGGGUGUUAAUUUUUUUUUUUUUUUUUUACAUUUUUUUUCAUCUUUUCUAUUAAAAGGGUCACUAUGCUGGAUUUGGAUUUUCUUUUUUGUAAUCACACCUCCAUUUGAACUGCAUUUUUGAACGUCUGUAUUUUACAUAUAUCUAUUUGAAUUAAUUUUUUAUUCACAUGCUGG